CAACAAGAAACACAAAUUACUAACAAUUUCCAGGUAAUUAAGCACAUCAAAAUCAAUCCUAUCACCACCACUGUGGGUUUUAAGACAUUCGAAAGCAUAUUGUUAAACACCAAUAGAUCCAAUCCAGGAAAAGGGGUUCCAUCCUUCCUUGGAUAUAUCUCUAACUUUUUGUUGCAACUGUUUUACUUUGUUCAUGUAUGCCUCUAUUGGUCAUGGGAGUCCUCAUCCCAAGUACAGCAUUCUGAGCCUAUGAUAGCACAAGUUUCCCCUUCUAUAGCUAGCAGAUAAUCGAGAGCCAUUCUGAUCUGAAGGGCAAUUUUUUUGACUUGGGCUAACUCUUCAUUCAGGGCAUGGAUAGUACUUGUGGUUUCAUUGAUAAACCCAUCCAUGAUACUAGCAUAUUUAUUUAUCUUAUUUGCUACUUCGACUCCCAAACCCAUCCAAGUGGGGAACCACAUCCAGGCUUUAUCUGCAGAUGAGAAUAGUUCUUGCUUAUACCUAGUUCCCCUUUGGUAUAUUUCACACAAUGAGAUAUAUGAGUGUGGUCUAAUGGCUGGUACAACUCUUCCUAUGGUACAGUUACCCCAUGCUCCCAACGGAAGCCAUGAGUAGGCCUUAUUGCC